rnacentral:rRNA from 1 species
GACGUAGGGCGCGAGCGUUGUCCGGAUUUAUUGGGCGUAAAGAGCGUGUAGGCGGCCUGAAAGGUCAGCUGUGAAAACUCGAGGCUCAACCUCGAGACGUCGGUUGAAACCAUCUGGCUAGAGUCCGGAAGAGGAGAGUGGAAUUCCCGGUGUAGCGGUGAAAUGCGCAGAUAUCGGGAAGAACACCCGUGGCGAAGGCGGCUCUCGUGGGACGGUACUGACGCUGAGACGCGAAAGCGUGGGGAGCGAACGAGG